rnacentral:misc_RNA from 1 species
GAUGAAGAACGCAGCGAAAUGCGAUAAGUAGUGUGAAUUGCAGAAUUCAGUGAAUCAUCGAAUCUUUGAACGCACAUUGCGCCCCUUGGUAUUCCAUGGGGCAUGCCUGUUCGAGCGUCAUUUGUACCUUCAAGCCUUGCAUGGUGUUGGGUGUUUGUCUCGCCUCUGCGCGCAGACUCGCCUCAAAACAAUUGGCAGCCGGCGUAUUGAUUUCGGAGCGCAGUACAUCUCGCGCUUUGCACUCAGAACGACGACGUCCAAAAGUACAUUUUUACACUCUUGACCUCGGAUCAGGUAGGGAUACCCGCUGAACUUAAGCAUAUCAAUAAGCGGAGGA